rnacentral:rRNA from 1 species
AUACGGAGGGUGCGAGCGUUAAUCGGAAUUACUGGGCGUAAAGCGUACGUAGGCGGUUUGCUAAGUCAGAUGUGAAAGCCCCGGGCUUAACCUGGGAACUGUAUUUGAUACUGGCAGACUAGAGUAUGAUAGAGGGGGGUAGAAUUCCUGGUGUAGCGGUGAAAUGCGUAGAUAUCAGGAGGAAUACCAGUGGCGAAGGCGGCCCCCUGGAUCAAUACUGACGCUGAGGUACGAAAGCGUGGGGAGCGAACAGGAUUAGAAACCCUAGUAGUCC